rnacentral:rRNA from 1 species
UACGUAGGGGGCAAGCGUUAUCCGGAUUUACUGGGUGUAAAGGGAGCGUAGACGGCAAUGCAAGUCUGGAGUGAAAGGCGGGGGCCCAACCCCCGGACUGCUCUGGAAACUGUAUAGCUGGAGUGCAGGAGAGGUAAGUGGAAUUCCUAGUGUAGCGGUGAAAUGCGUAGAUAUUAGGAGGAACACCAGUGGCGAAGGCGGCUCUCUGGCCUGUAACUGACACUGAGGCUCGAAAGCGUGGGGAGCAAACAGG